UCAGAAAAGAAAAUGAUUUCAAGGCCCAGAUACUGAUCUUGUAUUUAAAGCUAACUCACUUAAAAUCUUCACACCUCUAUUAGGAAAUGGCAAAGCCAAGAAUUCUCAGAACUAAAUAUGUAUACACAGAAGUAAACACAUUGAGGCUGGAUCAAGGGAUUCUUCCAUGGGUGUUCGCCUGCCAGAUUAAUUGUUCUCGAAGCCAGGGAUAUAGCCACUUUUGUGCUCACUCGUAUAUGACCAGGGCUCCGGUUCUCAAAUCAGAGUCAUUGUUUCCACCCCACAGACAACACAAACAAUAGCUUCGAGCAAUGGAAAGAUGAAACAGAGCUGAAAAGGGGAAGAGUAAGAAAAGCAAUAAAGGGCUGAGUGAAGGAAAGAAGAUCUUCCUGUGAUGGAAAGAAAACAGCAUCCAUCUCUAGUCCUGUUUGACCUUGCUUGCUACUAAAUUUUGAAUUUUUUGUAAUGAUACUGAAGAAGUGAUGAGAGGUAACUGGUAAGGUAAUGACCUCAAAUGCCCCUCAGGGUGCUCUCAGGUCUCAUCCUCAUAUCCAGUGAGCUUCCCUUCUCUCUGUUCCCUGCCCCUUUCCCUCACAUGACCCCAAGGCUCCCUCUUGCAAUUCAGUUUCUCCUGCCAGCACCAUCCCUUACCCUUUCUAGACCUGUAAAAGAACUCGGUUGUAUGUUGAGAAAACAACUGAGAAAGAAAAUGUAGAAAUAUUAACUUAACCUACAAAAAAUAGACACACACACACACACACACACACACACACACACACACAGGGUCUAAUGAACUUUCCACCUUUCCACAAUAAAGCAUUAAUAAGAACGGAGUGAGAUCCUCACAGUAUCAGUGAUCAUGAAUGAUGUAUUCAUUACCAAUAAGUGUGAGUAUC